GAUGAACGCUGGCGGCGUGCUUAACACAUGCAAGUCGAACGGAAAGGCCCAGGCUUUCUUGGGUGCUCGAGUGGCGAACGGGUGAGUAACACGUGAGUAAUCUGCCCUUCACUUCGGGAUAAGCCUGGGAAACUGGGGCUAAUACCGGAUAGGAGCACCUCCUGCAUGGUGUGGUGUGGAGAUUUCUGGCGGUGGGGGAAGGUCUCGGGGUUUAACAGUGUUGGGGGGGUGUUGUCGCAUAACAGCGCCGUCGGGGAGCCGUGGUCUGAGGGGGUGAGGGGCCACAGUGGGACUGAGACGCGGCAGAGACUCCUACGGGGGGGAGAAGUGGGAUAUAGUGCACAGUGGGCAGAAGUGAGAUGGAGCAGCGGCGUGUGCGGGGUGACGGUCUUCGGGGUGUACACCGCUUGCGCCGGUGAAGAAGCGUGAGUGACGGUAAUGGGAGAAGAAGCACCGGCUAACUACGUG
rnacentral:rRNA from 1 species